rnacentral:lncRNA from 1 species
AAUUACAUGUGAUUUCUUAUGAAAUGAAAUUGAUCUAUAGCAUUAAUUAAACUUAGAAAUUGUUUAUAUUUAAUCAGUUUUCACAGAGUGCACAAUAUUGUACAAAAUUAUUAAAAGGAAAUUAUAUGAGUUGUUUCUAGUUAUAUAAGUAUGGUGUAAAAAUCUAUUGACUUUUGAGGAACAUAUUUAUUAAAAAAUUAAUACUAGUAUUAAAGGGUUUUAGCAGGAAAACUUCUGAAAUAUAACGUAGAGUUAUAAAAUAAAAAUCUUGGGAGCUAGAGGUAUAGCAUAGUGGUAGACUACUUGCCUAUUAUGUGCAAGGCCCUUGGUUCAAUUUCUAGAAUUCUUAGCAAUGUGUGUGCAUACAUACACACACACACACACACACACACACACACACACACACGGAUAAAAUCUUGAAUGAUAUUAGGAACAAGAUAAAGAAAAUAAAUAUUCUUUUAUCUACAACGAUUCAAAGUUUUGGUUCAAAUGCAUUACUAUUUACUACUAAUUACUUGAAUCAAAGCAAAAUUAAUCUCUGUUUCAUCUGUAGUUAAAAACACCUGUGUAGCUUUUACAAAUUCAAAGAUAGAGAUAUAUAGGAUUCUGUUUCCUACCUAUUCCAUUAUUGCAGGAUUCCCUAGAAAAGCUCCAGACUUACAAAAGCAGCUGCUUGUAUUUAACGAUAAUCCUCUGUACUAUUAGUUUUGUCUUUUGGGAUAGGAAAUUGAUUACCUGACCUUAACAUAGGGAAGACUUUGUGUGUGCCUUACUUUCUGCCUCAGAGAGUAAAUCAGUUAUGUAAACACUGAAAAAUAAUUAAGAGUACAGUGAUGUUUUAGUUUGAUCAGGAAAACUGACAGAAAAUGAAAAAAAUAUUUUCUUUAUUUUUAUCUCCCCUAGAAAGUAAUAAUUUAAAUUUCUGCUGUUUUAACUUAUGCAUUUUAUGAUGAGUUGUGUUUUUGUUUUUUUAAUAAACACAUUUAUAAGCUUUUUAGCAGAGAGAGCUCGUGGGGGAAAGGGUAAC